rnacentral:rRNA from 1 species
GAUGAACGCUGGCGGCGUGCUUAACACAUGCAAGUCGAACGGAAAGGCCCUGAUUUUGUGGGGUGCUCGAGUGGCGAACGGGGGAGUAACACGUGAGUAACCUGCCCUUGACUUUGGGGUAACAUCAGGAAACUGGGGCUAAUACAGGAUAGGAGAUCCUGCAGCAUGGUGGGGGUUGGUAAGUUUCGGCGGUUGGGGUUGGACUCGCGGGUUAUCAGCUUGUUGGUGGGGUGGUGGCUUACCAAGGCUUGGACGGGUAGCCGGCCUGGGAGGGUGACCGGCCACAUGGGCCCAGGGGUGCGGCCCGGACGCCUUCUUGCGGCAGCGGUGGGGAACUUAGCACGAUGGGCCGAGUGCGGGUGCAGCAACUCCGGGUGCGAGAUGACUGCUUUCGGGUAGGAAACCGCUUUCGCCUGUGACGAAGCGUGAUGACCGGAACUGAGGAAAGAGGCACGGGCUACUUCCUG